UCUCUCUCCCUAAUUUUAACAAAAAGGAAAAAAAUAUUGUAUCCAAAGAGAACGUGAAUGGGGCGGGAGGAGAAGAGAAGCAGCUUUUUUGCUCUAUUCAGCCGGGACGCGGGAGCGCGGACGAUUUCCGCUCCUAUUGUGAGGCGGGGCCCGGGGGCGGCAGUGAAUGGGGGGUCUGCCGAGCGGCCCGCAGGGCUGUCAGGCGGCUCAGCGUAAUCAGGGCUAAUGACGGUGGCCGGGAGCUCCGCGGGACAAUGCGCGGGGCCGCGGGGUUUUGUCGGCCUGAAUGGCUAAUAGGCUUUUAACUCUGGUUGGCGCUGCUUGUCAUUAUAUAUGAAGUUCUCCAAAGGGAUUUUAGCCUAUCCUGCAAUUCAGGAUAACCUCAAAUAGAGAAGACGGUGAUGGGGUAGGACACACAAAAAGCUGCAGUACAAUUACACAAUUAUGGUGAUCAGACUUCUACAAAUGCAGUGUCUCCAACCUCCAGCAAUGUUCCAGAUGUUGCCCCUCAAUCAGCCUGCAUCCCUGAAUAAGGAGGCAUGGAGCAGAGCCUCCAGCCAACCUACAACAGAUGCAUAUUAUAGGUAACAAAUAAAUCUUUGUUGUUAGAAACCA